rnacentral:piRNA from 1 species
UGGCACGAUGAUCUCUGCGGCCGGCUGAGG